rnacentral:misc_RNA from 1 species
GGAAGGAUCAUUAACACAUCCAUUAACCUCACCAUUUAACAACCUGUUACGUAUGAAUAGAUGAACAUUUAUUCAUACGCAUACACUUACAUACCUUUAAACAAAACAUACAUUUAACAAGCCUGCUUUACAGCAAAACAAAAAGAAAAUUUUCAACGAUGGAUAUCUUGGUUCCCAUAACGAUGAAGAACGCAGCGAAAUGCGAAAGGCAAUGCGAAUUGCAGAAUUCCGCGAGUCAUCAGAUAUUUGAACGUAAGUGGCGCCGAUCGGAUAUCCGGUUGGCAUGCUUGUUUCAGUGUCAUAAAUUCUCACAAAUCUAAAUGUGAUUGAUAAAUGAUUUUGCGUGCUUUGCAUACAAUUUUCACGAAUCUCUCAUGAAAUUAGAAUGUGUCAGUGCUUCAACACAACGAAGUAGUCACAUUUCAUGUGAUCUCGUUGUUGAGGGAGUAACUCUGCAACACAUAGAGGUUUAUCCUCUUCAAAUAGAAUCUGAAAUCAAGCAAGAACACCCGCUGAACUUAAGCAUAUCAGUAAGCGGAGGAAAAGAAAUUAACUAAGAUUGCCUUAGUAACGGCGAGUGAAGAGGCAAGAGCUCAAGCCUAAAAUCUGGAACACAAGUUUCAGAAUUGUAGUCUAAAGGCAAAGGCAGAAGGCAUGGAGUAUGCAUAAGUCUUCCGGAAAGGAGGGUCAAAGAGGGUGAUAAUCCCGUAAAGCAAUACUCUGGCCGUAUGCCGAAACCAAAGAGUCGGGUUGUUUGGGACUGCAGCCCUAAAUGGGAGAUAAACUUCUUCUAAGGCUAAAUAUUUAUGGGAAACCGAUAGCGAACAAGUACUGUGAAGGAAAGAUGAAAAGAACUUUGAAAAGAGAGUUAAAAGACUUGAAAUCGUUGAGAAGGAAGCGGUAGAAAAGAAUUAGUUGGGGGUGACGUAAGGACGGAAAGUACCGGUCUGUGGCGAGUGGAGUACGUAAAAGGCUUGCUUGUUACAGAUAACGGGGCUUUCGCUGUCUUCAUCUCCAAAGGGCAAGAUGAGAUCAGUAGUGCUGGAAACACUGAGUAGGACGACCCCGCAAGGGAGCCUGCACAGAAUACGGCACGUUUGGUCUGAGGGGCUAAGGCGAUCUUGCCAAAAUGGUUUCUACUGACCCGUCUUGAAACACGGACCAAGGAGUCUAACAAUUGCGCGAGUGUGCGAGUGAAAAACUCAUACGCGAAAUGAAAGUGAGUACAAGAUGUGAAGGGCAACCUGCAACAUCGACCGGCCACGAUCUUCUGUGAGAGGUCCGCGUAAGAGCGUACUUGUUAGGACCCGAAAGAUGGUGAACUAUACUUGAGUAGGGUGAAGUCAGAGGAAACUCUGAUGGAAGCUCGUAGCGGUACUGACGUGCAAAUCGUUCGUCAAACUUGAGUAUAGGGGCGAAAGACUAAUCGAACCAUCUAGUAGCUGGUUCCCUC